rnacentral:pre_miRNA from 2 species
UCUUAUGAAAGAGCAAAUAAAGUAGUUUCCUGAGAUGGAACCUACUCCUGGUAAUGAUGCUGUGAA